UACGUAGGGUGCGAGCGUUAAUCGGAAUUACUGGGCGUAAAGCGUGCGCAGGCGGUUCGUUGUGUCUGAUGUGAAAGCCCCGGGCUCAACCUGGGAAUGGCAUUGGAAACUGGCGAGCUAGAGUGUGGCAGAGGGGGGUGGAAUUCCGGCGUGUAGCAGUGAAAUGCGUAGAGAUGUGGAGGAACACCGAUGGCGAAGGCAGCCUCCUGGGCCAGCACUGACGCUCAUGCACGAAAGCGUGGGGAGCAAACAGG
rnacentral:rRNA from 1 species